rnacentral:lncRNA from 1 species
UGCAGCACUUCGGAAUACCUUCUGUCCCAGAAACCUCUGGAAUAUCCACAGACUUGUCCUUAAGGCAAUCAGACUCCAAGGAAACAAUGCUGGCAGCUUCUCUAGCAACAGAACCAAUGACACAUUUUUCAGUCUUAGAUUGUUCUUGGCAACAACCAGAAUCAAUGGCACAUUUUUCAGUCUUAGAUUGUUCUUGGCAACAACCAGAACCAUUAUUUGUUCUGCAUGCAGAGUCCUCAUACAUUUUUACUUUGCUUAGACACCAACCAUUGCAUGGUUUCACUAUAUGCACUUCAAUAGCGAC